rnacentral:sRNA from 1 species
CUUUAGCCCCGAUAGCAGUGAAAAUCCUCCCGUUUUUUUGGGAGAUUGAAACAAAUAGCGGGAACAAUG